rfam:Oreochromis niloticus linkage group LG14, whole genome shotgun sequence.
CAGUGUUGUCACCCAUAAAGUAGAAAGCACUACUAAACUUUACUACACAGUGUAGUGUUUCCUACUUUAUGGAUGAGUAUACUGU